rnacentral:rRNA from 1 species
UAGGGAAUUUUCGUCAAUGGGCGCAAGCCCGAACGAGCGAUGCCGCGUGAGUGAAGAAGGCCUUCGGGUCGUAAAGCUCUGUUGCGGGGGAAAAAGGCAGCAUCAGGAAAUGGGUGCUGACUGAUGGUCGCCCCGCCAAGAAAGUCACGGCUAACUACGUCGCC